ensembl:lncRNA
CAUGGUGAUUCCGAGUUCCUCGCUCCCCCGGCAUUCCCGCUUCCCGCUUCCCUUCAGUCUUACAGCAGCGCUGGUGGCGCGUGCAUUGAGGCAAAUUGGCGCUGAAGAUCGCGUAAAGUGAUCGCUACAUUUAGCCGGUGGCUGAAUGAUGUGUGUGUCGAGCCGCGUUACCUGUGAUAGUAGGGAGUUAAGUCUUGCCGAAGACGCUACAUGAGACGCCGCUGCUGUUUUGCUUAGUGGGUUGUUUUUGCUUCAGCAAUUGUUUUGCUUUACCUGGUUUUUGUUUAACAGUCAUGUUCUCCGUUUGAUUUAUUGUUUUGCUUCAUGGUUUUAUGUAUUUUGUUUUACUUUAGUUUUGGGUGUAUGUCUGGCUUUGUUUUGUAACCACAUAUAGUAAGAGAGUGAGUAGUAAAACUAGUGUUUCCUAGCCUCAAAUCUGUUUGAGAUUUGUUGUUCCACCUAACCACUUUACUACUGAGAGGAUGUAUGUUAACCCUUACUGUCUCCAUGCUAUAGUGGCCAUAAUUGUCAUUUGUACUGUUUACCAUAAUUCUGGUUCUGCUUGGGUGUUGUCAACUGUCUCCAUUUCUUGUGGUGGUGUCAGUGGGCCUGGGUGUUAAAAUAGCUACCAUACCACAGUGUCUGUAAUAUUUGUCUUUCUGUGUCUUGUUUAGUGUCUGUGUAAUUUUGGGUUAACUGGUGUCGUCUUUCUCUCCAGGAGCUAGUGAGUCUUGGUGGGACAGGGGUGGCUAGCUGCAUUUAUUCAGGAGUGUGCUUCACAGCAUGCUCAGUGUGCCAACACAACAACUUCCUUAUGGUGUAGGUAUUUUUUAUUAUUAUUAUUUAUUUGGUGUGACUUGCAGAGGGUUUGGAUGACUUCCCGAGUUGUAGCUGGCCUGCCUUGUCCCUGCCAAGCCUGGGCCUGGAGAAGUUCUUAGUUUUAAAAUAAUUACUGUGCUUCAUGUGAAAGCAAUUUUCUAUUUUCAUGUUAAGUUUUAAAUGAUGCUUACGUGUCAUAAUAAAAUACAAACUUCUAUACUUGUA